GCGCUGGAUUAUGACUGA
rnacentral:sRNA from 1 species